UUUUUACGGCAUUUAUCAGAUUCUGGUUUUUACCAGCCCAUCAUUUUUAUCCACAAUUUGAUCUCAAACAGGAAUGCUAUUUGAUUCAUGUCAAAUAAAUGAACAAAUGGAUGAUGUAUCCAUGAAUAGAUUUCCUUGUGAGAUCAUUUUAGAGUGGUAGAAAAAAAGGGAAUUAUUUUGUUUAAAUUUUUGUAAUUUUCUAAGGCCGUAGUAACACAGUCAAUCAAUAGGAAGAGAUUUUAACACACAGUACGUAGUGUCAGAAAAAUGAUCCACAGCAGUUUAACGUCUUGUCUCGCUCAUCUCUCAAUUUCAAAGGCCCUUCUAAGACUUGUGCUGAAACCUAUUUGUGAUGCUUUUCAUCUUUAUUUGCCACCGAAUUACUACAAUUAAAGCAUUAAUCCUUUGUUAGGUUGGUCUUAGUUUAGAUUUUCUGUUUUGGAUAUUUCAUUGUGAAUUUUGUCUAAAUGUUGUCCUUGAUUCCAGAAUGGGCCAGAAAACAUUUUUCAGCUUUGUUUAUGAAAAAAUUUUAUUCUAAAUACGAUUUCAAGAGGUAAAGAUGAGGAAAUGGCAUUUCAGCCUGACAGAACGAUUUGAGCAAAUAUUAGACAAAGUAAAAAAUGUUAGAGUCACGUGAAAAUUAAAUUAAGUUCUGUUUGCUUGCCGCAGAUAAGAUGGCAAAAACAUAGGAAUUCAAGACUAGGAUAUUGAGAAUCUCAAUUCUAACUUUUAAAAGCUUAGAGGUAUAGGAGUUCCCUGGUGGCCUUGUGGGUUAAGGAUCUAGCAUCAUCACUGCUAUGGUUUGGGCCACUGGUGUGGUACAGGUUGGAUCCCUGGCCUGAGAACUUAUGCAUUCCAUAGGCGCAGCCAAAAAAAAAAAUUUUUUUUUUAAAUAAAAUUAAAAAAAAAGAAAGCUGAGAACUAUAGAUGCCUGGGAUCCUUGGGAGGUUUACCAUCUGGGAAAUGAACAACAUACCUUUAUUUUCAGGUAUACACGUGAUGGGAGUGUAAAGGGUAGACUGGACAUAUGAAACACUAGAGAUAAGAAAACAAAAUAAAAAUCUCUUGUGAUAGAGUAGGUAAGAGGCCCUAAAUUGGAUAAAUAGGAAGGCUGGGAUUUUGGAGUGGUGGCAGAAGAUGACUCAUAUGAGUGUUUUAUCCUCAAAGUGUUGACAAAUCUUGAUGUUUCCAGCGUGGGUGAUAGCUGCUGUGGGAAACCCAGGGGGAUCAGAGGGUAGGAAGCUGUGAGAAUGGAUCCCGUUUCUGGCCCAUUGAAUCUGAAUUCACUUCAGAUUAUGGAAUUUUUAUGUAGAGAAUCAAAAAUUCAGGCAGAGAAUUCAAGAGCUAAGGAGCUAUCCAUUCAGAUUUAAAUGUCACAGCAUAGCUCUGAUUGUUGAAACCCAGACAAAAGCUAAAAGCAGCCGAAGGACUUGUAGAAUAGGAAAGGAAGGAACAUGAUCGUCCUCUACAAAUAGGUUAAGGAAGAAGGAUGGAAGGAAUGAUGGAGACUGAGAAGAACUACACAGGGCUUACGGAAAGGGCGGGCUAGAAUUUGCCUUUGCCAGAUGGAGUAGGAGCCAGGUUGCAGAGUGAGUGGCAGAGUCAGGAGGAAUGUAUGCCUUGCUCUUUCCUGUGGAUGACUCAUGAUUAAGCAUUCAACUUGUCUCCACAUAUGUGAAAAUUGUUAAAUAUUCUCCUUCAGCUGGGCUCAUUUAGGCAAAAAUGAGUCACUUUCCUUUUGUUCAACCUAAUGAAGCCAAAUCUUGAAAACCUUUAAAAGUUUUUUUUUUUGAGACUCUUUAAAAUAUUGUCUCCAACCUUUCACCUCUAAUUUCACACGUGAUCCCAUUAUAUAUUAAAGAGGACCUGAUUAGCUAAAGAAGAUCAUGAGGCCAUUUUUCCUUGAUUUGCCACUAGUUAUAAGACUCUAGUACAGUGUUUACUUUACAACCUGCAGCAUUGCUGGUAUUCACCUAACUUUCUUUUGAGCUUUUCUUGCAGUGUAAUUAAUACCUGCCACAGAUUCCCUUUGCAAGUACACAUCAAGCAUGGAAAAUUGUUUGCAAUGGCUCCUGAAAAUGAGUUUAGUCUUAAUCAACUUAAUAGCAUUUUUAAUGUGGCGUAGGAUAACCUAAAUGUGUACCUAUAAAACCAUCUAGUUUAGAGAUGGAUUAGUCAUCAAACUGGUCAAGUUAACAAGAAAUGCAAUUAAGGCUAACUUGGUCACUUCUUAUUCAGACUUUCCAUCUGUGGGCCUAUGAAUUGUAAAAGAAAAGGCCAAAUAAGCUUGAAUUCCCACUAUUUUUAUUCAAUCAUUUAGAAUAGCUUAUUAUUUUCUGGUAUAUGCUUGUCUGUGUGCAUUUGUGUGUUUUGCUAUAUAUGUGCUUGGGUUUUAGAGCAUUUUUCGUACCUUCUAUCAUAUAAUUUUCAUUCUGUAUAAGUUUUCUUCCCUUCAUCAUAAACUGUCUUAGGCUAGAUCAGUGUUUUGCUUUCCCUUUUGUCUCUAGAGCACUCAGCUUUAUGCUUUGUUUCAACAACAUUCUUUUUUUAAAUAAAAAAAAAUUUAAAGUACAGUUGACUCACAAUGUUGUGCCAACUUCUGCUGUACAGCAAACAAAGUGACCCAGUCAUUUAUACACACACACACACUUUGUUUUUCUCAUAUCAUUCCCCAUCAUGGUCUGUCCUACAAGAUUGCACACAGUUCCCUGUGCUGUAUAGUAGGACCUCAUUAUCUAUUCAUUCUAAAUGUAAUAGUUUGCAUCUACUAACCCCAAACUCUCAGUCCAUCCCACUCCCUCCCCCUUGGUAACCACAAAUCUGUUCUCCAUGUCUGAGUCUGUUUUUGUUUUGUAUAGGUUCAUUUUGUGCCGUAUUUUAGAUUCCACAUAUAAGUGAUAUCAUAUGGUGUUUAUCUUUCUCUUUCUGACCUAUUAACUUAGCAUGAGAAAUUCUGGUUGCAUCCAUGUUCCUGCAGAUGGCAUUAUUUUGCUCUUUUUUAUGGCUGAGUUAUAUUCCGUUGUAUAUGUGUUCCACAUCUCCUUUUUUUUCCUUUUUCCUUUUCUAUGGCUGCACCUGCAGCAUAUGGAAGUUCAUAAAAAUUAUGAAAAAAUUAAGUAUUUUUGUCUAUAGGAUUAGGCUUAUACUUAAGUAUACAUAGUCAUAAAAUUUUAGGAUGUGAGGGAUUGUGAAAGCCAACUUAAGUAAAAAGGACUUAGAAUAAGACGUAAUUUCUUAGUUCUUGAUCUUAAGCAAUAUCUUGGCAGGAGAGCUAUAUAUAUGCAGUAAAGAAUGGACCUUAGUUUGAAUUCUUUUCCAGCGGUGUCACUAUGGACAAGUCAUAUUCUCAUCUGUGGAAAGGAGGUUGCACCUGCUGAUCUACUGCCUGGUUGGUUGUGAAUGUUAAAUGAUUAAACAAGGUAACAUAAAAAGUAACAUAAUGUUUGGAAGUUCCCAUUGUGGCUCAAUAGUAAUGAGCGUGACUAGUAUCCAUGAAGAUACGGGUUCGAUUCCUGGUCUCACUCAGUGGGUUAAGGAUCCAGCAUUGCUGUGAGCUGUGGUAUAGGUCACAGAUAUGUCUCUGAUCCCACGUUGCUAUGGCUGUGGUGUAGUCUGGCAGCUGUAGCUCUGAUUCAGUUCCUAGCAUGGGAACUUCU
rnacentral:lncRNA from 1 species